CUCCCCGCGCCGCGCCUCCCGCGGCCCGGGGCCCUGGCGACGUCACUGCGGCUCUGACGCGCGCUAAUGGAGGCACGGGCGGAGGCAGCGAGGCGCAAGCUUCCUCCCGGGAGGUCCCGGUCCUUGCAGCCUGCGGCCGCGUCCUUGGCCCUCCUCCAGGGGAACCUCGAUUUUCCAAACUCGGAAAGCCAGCUGUCCUUCGGCUACUGAUAAGGACGCGAGCGUCUGGUAAAAGAUUUUUAACAAAGCCCGGAAAGAAAUAGCCGGACCCGAGAAAGAGACUAAAAAUAGCCGCCAGCUAGAGCUCUGCUCGUGUGCUCUGCGUUCUUAAGAACAAUAAUAACGACAACAGCCAUAAUAGCCACCAUUUAUUGAGCGCUUGCUCUGUGCCAGGCACUGUGUUAAGCGCUUUGCAGGCAACAACCCUCGGAGCCUUGAGAGCUAUGGAUCAUUGUUCCCAUAUGGUGCAUGAGGCCCCGAGGCUGGUAAGCAUGGCAAGGCUGUGAUGCCACCCAGGAGUAUCGGACUUGAAAGCCUUGUUCCCAUCACCCAGAUCGUGGGGUGCCAUCACUAAGCUGGAGAGUCCCAGGACCUCGAGGGCAGGUGAUGAAGGAGACGUGGCUAGUUGACUACAGAGCAUCCAUUCGCCUCCGUCCAGCUUCCUGAAGCGAAGGAAGCUCAAGGCAGUGCAUUAUUGAGAGUAAAAGCUAAGCUGCUGCAAAAAGACAAACCCAGAGUGCCGUGUGCCUCAGUGGAAGUCGACCCCUUGCCCAACUCAGAGCUGGGCCUACUGCCCUUUCCAGGAACUCAUUCAGGAGCCAGCAGAUGGCAUAAUGGUUACAUUGCUGGACUC